GAUGAACACUGGCGGCGUGCUUAACACAUGCAAGUCGAACGAACCUUCGGGUUAGUGGCGGACGGGUGAGUAACGCGUGGGAAUCUGCCCUCAGGAGGGGGAUAACGGUUGGAAACGACCGCUAAUACCCCAUAUGCCGAGAGGUGAAACGAAUUUCGCCUGAGGAUGAGCCCGCGUCUGAUUAGCUAGUUGGUGGGGUAAAGGCCUACCAAGGCAUCGAUCAGUAGCUGGUCUGAGAGGAUGAUCAGCCACACUGGGACUGAGACACGGCCCAGACUCCUACGGGAGGCAGCAGUGGGGAAUUUUCCGCAAUGGGCGCAAGCCUGACGGAGCAACGCCGCGUGAGGGAUGAAGGCCUCUGGGCUGUAAACCUCUUUUCUCAAGGAAGAAGAUCUGACGGUACUUGAGGAAUAAGCCACGGCUAAUUCCGUGCCAGCAGCCGCGGUAAUACGGGAGUGGCAAGCGUUAUCCGGAAUUAUUGGGCGUAAAGCGUCCGCAGGCGGCCUUGAAAGUCUGUCGUUAAAGCGUGGAGCUUAACUCCAUUUCGGCGGUGGAAACUACAAGGCUUGAGUGUGGUAGGGGCAGAGGGAAUUCCCGGUGUAGCGGUGAAAUGCGUAGAUAUCGGGAAGAACACCAGUGGCGAAGGCGCUCUGCUGGGCCAUAACUGACGCUCAUGGACGAAAGCUAGGGGAGCGAAAGGGAUUAGAUACCCCUGUAGUCCUAGCCGUAAACGAUGAACACUAGGUGUCGGGGGAAUCGACCCCCUCGGUGUCGUAGCUAACGCGUUAAGUGUUCCGCCUGGGGAGUACGCACGCAAGUGUGAAACUCAAAGGAAUUGACGGGGGCCCGCACAAGCGGUGGAGUAUGUGGUUUAAUUCGAUGCAACGCGAAGAACCUUACCAGGGUUUGACAUCCUGCGAAUCCCUUGGAAACUUGGGAGUGCCUUCGGGAGCGCAGAGACAGGUGGUGCAUGGCUGUCGUCAGCUCGUGUCGUGAGAUGUUGGGUUAAGUCCCGCAACGAGCGCAACCCACGUCUUUAGUUGCCAGCAUUUAGUUGGGCACUCUAGAGAGACCGCCGGUGAUAAACCGGAGGAAGGUGUGGAUGACGUCAAGUCAUCAUGCCCCUUACAUCCUGGGCUACACACGUACUACAAUGCUACGGACAAAGGGUUGCAAACUCGCGAGAGCUAGCUAAUCCCAUAAACCGUGGCUCAGUUCAGAUCGUAGGCUGCAACUCGCCUACGUGAAGGAGGAAUCGCUAGUAAUCGCAGGUCAGCAUACUGCGGUGAAUACGUUCCCGGGCCU
rnacentral:rRNA from 1 species